GGCAGACAUUCAUUCAGAAGCCAUUUCCCUCUGGAAUCCACACUCACCAGCCAGGGUCUGUGUAGGAGCCAGGGAGGCUGCCAGCAGCCAGAGCAGAUCCCUAUCUGGGAUCUGGAGAACUUCUGAACACUGAGAGUUUUUAAGAACCCAGAAACUUUGUACUAGCUUCUGCAAAAACGUGAUACCCAAUGGGCGUGGAAAUGGUCAUCACAUCAUAAGUGUCUGGGUACAAAAAUCUGACUCAGUUUAGAAGAUCAGAAAGUGAAACGUAGAGGAGAGAGUGAAUCUCCAGAGCUGUGCUUCAAUGCCACUGUCCAUUAUGCUUCACUAGGAACCUGGGACUUUAUCCUGCCUCUCCUGUUUCAGUACCAAGAGACUCCUUGUGCAAUCUCCCUCAUUCCAGUUCAAUAUUUGUCUUGAUAAGCAGUCUCAGACUUUCUUGUCUCAGGAUCUCCAUAUGCUCUUAUGAUUUAAUGAGUUUCUUCUAGGAAAAUAUGUUUUUGUGAGUCACAUGUGUAAACCGAACCUUUCAAAAUGUAUUCAGUGGCUUAAAAUAUUAACAGAUCUAUUAUGUUGACAAAAUUGUAUGAGAAAUAAUCAUUUUCCAACAAGAACAGACUGAAGUGUGGGACUUUUGAACUCUACAAGUUUGUAAGUCUUUUACUUAGGAGAAGAACCUGUUAUUCCAGAUGAAUCAUAUGAAAUAGCUUGCCUUACACAAAUUUGUAGGUGAAAUAUUUUAAUGCUGUUAUCAGAUAAUUGUGGAUACUCAUCUUUGAUACCAUAGUAAAAUAAAAAUGUAUUAAUAA
rnacentral:lncRNA from 1 species